CAGCUGUCAAAUAAUGUAAAGUGUAAACAACUGUGCUGUCAAAAUUUAAAUAUGAAGUAGUUUUUUUUCAUUCUUCGUAAUCCGAUAUUUAUUUUCAUAAAAAGGAUUUAAAAUACAAUACCAAGAUGACUUCUGUCGUUACUGAUCGUCCUCGAGAUUGCACGGCAUGUAGAAUCGUCGGUGCCAUGGGCUUAGUAGGAAUUGGAGGUUAUCUCGCAAAUGUAGCUUGGAAAAACAACACUCUUGUGGGUAGAGUUGCUGUAUCUACAAUGUCCCUUGCCUUUGUAAGCCUUGGCAUAGCCAGGUAUAAGCAGCAAUACCCUUUCAAUCA